rnacentral:rRNA from 1 species
UACAGAGGUGGCAAGCGUUGUUCGGAAUUACUGGGCGUAAAGGGCGCGUAGGCGGUUUCGUAAGUCCUGUGUGAAAUCCCCCGGCUCAACUGGGGAACUGCACAGGAAACUGCGAGGCUUGAGUUCGGGAGAGGGAAGCGGAAUUCCGGGUGUAGCGGUGAAAUGCGUAGAUAUCCGGAGGAACACCGGUGGCGAAGGCGGCUUCCUGGACCGACACUGACGCUGAGGCGCGACAGCGUGGGGAGCAAACAGG